rnacentral:rRNA from 1 species
CUAGCGGCGGACGGGUGAGUAACGCGUGGGAACGUGCCCUUUGCUACGGAAUAGUCCCGGGAAACUGGGUUUAAUACCGUAUGUGCCCUUCGGGGGAAAGAUUUAUCGGCAAAGGAUCGGCCCGCGUUGGAUUAGGUAGUUGGUGGGGUAAUGGCCCACCAAGCCGACGAUCCAUAGCUGGUUUGAGAGGAUGAUCAGCCACACUGGGACUGAGACACGGCCCAGACUCCUACGGGAGGCAGCAGUGGGGAAUCUUAGACAAUGGGGGCAACCCUGAUCUAGCCAUGCCGCGUGAGUGAUGAAGGCCUUAGGGUUGUAAAGCUCUUUCAGCUGGGAAGAUAAUGACGGUACCAGCAGAAGAAGCCCCGGCUAACUCCGUGCCAGCAGCCGCGGUAAUACGGAGGGGGCUAGCGUUGUUCGGAAUUACUGGGCGUAAAGCGCACGUAGGCGGACUGGAAAGUCAGAGGUGAAAUCCCAGGGCUCAACCUUGGAACUGCCUU